ACCAUAGGGGAGUCUGAGGGUGGGGGAAUUCCCGUGAAAUGUUUGUUUCUGACGCCCGGAAAUAACCUCUGAGGUGUUUUGGGCGGUCAAUAAUUUCUUCUUUUUUUUUUUCUUUUUCCUUUUAUUUUCUUUUUUUUUUUCGCUUUUUACUUUCCGAAGGGAGCGGGGGGUCGCCCUCCCCCCCCCCACUCCUAACUCCGUCCCUGAUGUCCCUGAUAAAGGAGUGGCGCUUUAGAAAAAGAAUAAUGGAUUGUUUUGAUACCUCACCAGGUGGCGUUUUAAAUAUAAACAAUACUGUAGCCUACUUGGAGUUGAAAGACUACGAAGGAGACUUUACAAUCAAUAACAAAUGUGGCAAAUAUAAACAACAUUGCAUGUGGAGUUGAAAGACUACGAAGGAUCAAUAACAAUCAAUCAAUAACAAAAUUGACAACGAAUCCACAAAUAUCACCAGACUCGAUCGUAAAAGGGCAACAGAACUUACCAGCUACUUGUAAAAAGCCAACGAUGUAAAAAAUCAAGCUUCCUGCAAACAUUCUGGAUAUGAACUCAAAUAAAAUAUACUUGCGACUUUUUUUAAAUAAUUUUCUGCAAAAAUCACAAUUUUAGUAAAAGUCUUAGGCCUAAUACUUGUAGGCUUUAUGUUUAUUGAUAUUAUUACCGUUAAUAAGAAAAUAGAGGAAAUAAACGUAAUAUUGUUGCAAAGAAUAUAAACAUAUGUAAGAUAAUCAGAUAUAAAAUUGUAUGGUCUAUUGAUUUUUGCCGACUGUGCAUGUAAUAUAUAAAAUUAAAUGUAUACAUAUAGGGAAUAUCUUGAUUUCAAUGAUUGGAAAUAAAUAUCAAUUGCAA
rnacentral:lncRNA from 1 species